CCCUUAGAUGUCCUGGGCCGCACGCGCGUUACACUGAUGCAUUCAACGAGCUUAUAACCUUGGCCGAGAGGCCUGGGCAAUCUUGUUAACGUGCAUCGUGAUAGGGAUAGAUUAUUGAAAUUAUUAAUCUUGAACGAGGAAUUCCUAGUAAACGCAGAUCAUCAAUCUGCAUUGAUUACGUCCCUGCCCUUUGUACACACCGCCCGUCGCACCUACCGAUUGGAUGGUCCGGUGAAUAAUUCGGACUGACGCAGUGCUCAGCUUCUGGACGUUGCGUCGGAAAGUUUCAUGAACCUUAUCACUUAGAGGAAGGAGAAGUCGUAACA
rnacentral:rRNA from 1 species